GAUGAACGCUGGCGGCGUGCCUAAUACAUGCAAGUCGAGCGAACGGACGAGAAGCUUGCUUCUCUGAUGUUAGCGGCGGACGGGUGAGUAACACGUGGAUAACCUACCUAUAAGACUGGGAUAACUUCGGGAAACCGGAGCUAAUACCGGAUGAUAUUUUGAACCGCAUGGUUCAAAAGUGAAAGACGGUCUUGCUGUCACUUAUAGAUGGAUCCGCGCUGCAUUAGCUAGUUGGUAAGGUAACGGCUUACCAAGGCAACGAUGCAUAGCCGACCUGAGAGGGUGAUCGGCCACACUGGAACUGAGACACGGUCCAGACUCCUACGGGAGGCAGCAGUAGGGAAUCUUCCGCAAUGGGCGAAAGCCUGACGGAGCAACGCCGCGUGAGUGAUGAAGGUCUUCGGAUCGUAAAACUCUGUUAUUAGGGAAGAACAUAUGUGUAAGUAACUGUGCACAUCUAGACGGUACCUAAUCAGAAAGCCACGGCUAACUACGUG
rnacentral:rRNA from 1 species